rnacentral:rRNA from 1 species
AUGGUCAGACUGCAUGGGCUACCUCUGUUUAUAGUUUCAGAUAGGGACAAAAUAUUCACCAGUGACUUUUGGAAAGAAUUGUUCAUAAUUUGGGGCAUUGAGUUACAGAUGAGCACAACAUACCACCCUCAAACAGAUGGGCAAACAGAGAGAGUAAAUCAGUGUCUAGAAAUGUAUCUCAGGUGUGCUGUACAUGCUUCACCAACUAAGUGGGUCUCAUGGCUACCUCAAGCAGAGUUCUAGUACCACACCACCUACCACUCUUCUCUGGGUUGCACUCCUUAUAAAGCUUUAUAUGAAUAUGAGCCACAUGUGGGACAACUGUACAGUCAAACUCAGUCUCACAAUACUGAAGUACAUCAUUGGUUGUCUAUACAUACUGAACACACAGCAGCAAUAAAGGAACAGUUAGCUCGAGCACAGAGCAAGUACAAGCAGUUUGCAUAUCGUAAGAGGACUGACAGACAGUUCACUGAAGGAGAGAUGGUCUAUUUCCGACUGCAAUCGUAUGCCCAGUCGUCAGUGGUCAAUCGUCCCUGCCCUAAACUGGCCAUGAAAUACUUUGGUCCCUUCAAAAUUCUCUCCAAGAUCGGUCAAGCAGCUUACAGACUGGAGCAGCCGCGCGGAAGCUUGGUUCAUCCGGUCUUUCACGUCUCUCAAUUGAAAGAGCACAUGCUUGACUACGCCCCAGUGUUCACUACUCUGCCAGCGCCACUGGACUUGUCUGAUCCCGUUAUGCAGCCAGAGGAGAUCAUUAAUCGUCGCUUGGUCAAGAAAGGCAAUGCCGCUCAUCAGCAAGUGCUGGUGAAAUGGAUAAAGUUUCCUGCAACUGAAGCUACAUGGGAAGACUACCAAUUACUCCGUUCCAGGUACCCGACUACACCAGCAUGGGGACAAGCUGGUUCUCCAGGGAAGGGUACUGUCAGUACUGGCGCACUGAUCGCAGUCAAGAAGCAGAGGGCAGGGAGGAGCUUCGCCAAGAAGAAGACAGAAGAAGUGAGCGGGUGA